rnacentral:misc_RNA from 1 species
GGAAUAAAAGUCGUAACAAGGUUUCCGUAGGUGAACCUGCGGAAGGAUCAUUAUUGUAUAACCGAGGUGCGAGGGCUGUCGCUGACCCGAAAGGUCGUGCACGCCCGAGUGCCCUCACACACAUCCAUCUCACCCCUAUGUGCACCACCGCGUGGGUCCCCCUUUGGCUUGUUCGGAGGGGGGCUUACGUUUUCACACAAACUUUGUAUGCAGUGUAGAAUGUAUUUUUUGUUUUUGCGAUCACGCAAUCAAUACAACUUUCAACAACGGAUCUCUUGGCUCCC